CUAAUACCGGAUAAUGUCUUCGGACCAAAGAUUUAUCGCCUUUGGAUGGGCCCGCGUAGGAUUAGCUUGUUGGUGGGGUAAUGGCCUACCAAGGCGACGAUCCUUAGCUGGUCUGAGAGGAUGAUCAGCCACACUGGGACUGAGACACGGCCCAGACUCCUACGGGAGGCAGCAGUGGGGAAUAUUGGACAAUGGGCGAAAGCCUGAUCCAGCAAUGCCGCGUGAGUGAUGAAGGCCUUAGGGUUGUAAAGCUCUUUUACCAGGGAUGAUAAUGACAGUACCUGGAGAAUAAGCUCCGGCUAACUCCGUGCCAGCAGCCGCGGUAAUACGGAGGGAGCUAGCGUUGUUCGGAAUUACUGGGCGUAAAGCGCACGUAGGCGGCGAUUCAAGUCAGAGGUGAAAGCCCGGGGCUCAACCCCGGAACUGCCUUUGAAACUAGAUUGCUAGAAUCCUGGAGAGGCGAGUGGAAUUCCGAGUGUAGAGGUGAAAUUCGUAGAUAUUCGGAAGAACACCAGUGGCGAAGGCGACUCGCUGGACAGGUAUUGACGCUGAGGUGCGAAAGCGUG
rnacentral:rRNA from 1 species